UGGGGAAUAUUGGACAAUGGGGGAAACCCUGAUCCAGCAAUGCCGCGUGUGUGAAGAAGGCCUGAGGGUUGUAAAGCACUUUCAGUGGGGAGGAGGAUUGAUAGGUUAAGAGCUAAUUAAUUGGACGUUACCCACAGAAGAAGCACCGGCUAACUCCGUGCCAGCAGCCGCGGUAAUACGGAGGGUGCAAGCGUUAAUCGGAAUUACUGGGCGUAAAGGGUGUGUAGGUGGUUGGAUAAGUUAUCUGUG
rnacentral:rRNA from 1 species